UACGAAGGGGACUAGCGUUGUUCGGAAUCACUGGGCGUAAAGCGCACGUAGGCGGAUUCGUAAGUCAGGGGUGAAAUCCCGGGGCUCAACCUCGGAACUGCCUUUGAUACUGCGGGUCUUGAGUCCGAUAGAGGUGGGUGGAAUUCCUAGUGUAGAGGUGAAAUUCGUAGAUAUUAGGAAGAACACCGGUGGCGAAGGCGGCCCACUGGAGCGGUACUGACGCUGAGGUGCGAAAGCGUGGGGAGCGAACAGG
rnacentral:rRNA from 1 species